GUAGGCGGCUUUUUAAGUCAGGGGUGAAAGACGGUGGCUCAACCAUCGCAGUGCCCUUGAUACUGAAGAGCUUGAAUACAUUAGAGGUAGGCGGAAUGUGACAAGUAGCGGUGAAAUGCAUAGAUAUGUCACAGAACACCGAUUGCGAAGGCAGCUUACUAUGAUGAGAUUGACGCUGAGGCACGAAAGCGUGGGGAUCAAACAGGAUUAGAUACCCUGGUAGUCCACGCCCUAAACGAUGAAUACUCGCUGUUAGCGAUACACAGUUAGCGGCUAAGCGAAAGCGUUAAGUAUUCCACCUGGGGAGUACGGUCGCAAGAUUGAAACUCAAAGGAAUUGACGGGGGCCCGCACAAGCGGAGGAGCAUGUGGUUUAAUUCGAUGAUACGCGAGGAACCUUACCCGGGCUUGAAAGUUAGUGAAUCAUUUAGAGAUAGAUGAGUGAGCAAUCACACGAAACUAGGUGCUGCAUGGCUGUCGUCAGCUCGUGCCGUGAGGUGUUGGGUUAAGUCCCGCAACGAGCGCAACCCCUAUGUUUAGUUGCCAGCACGUUAAGGUGGGGACUCUAAACAGACUGCCUGUGCAAACAGAGAGGAAGGAGGGGACGACGUCAAGUCAUCAUGGCCCUUACGUCCGGGGCUACACACGUGCUACAAUGGAUGGUACAGAGGGCAGCAAGCUGGCAACAGCAAGCGAAUCUCCAAAAGCCAUUCACAGUUCGGAUAGAGGUCUGCAACUCGACCUCUUGAAGUUGGAUUCGCUAGUAAUCGCAUAUCAGCAAUGAUGCGGUGAAUACGUUCCCGGGCCUUGUACAC
rnacentral:rRNA from 1 species